CCGUCUUAUCUUGAGAUUAUUUCCCACGUUAACCCCCCUAGAAAUAUACAGAUUGUCCCAUAAUAAGAGACAUACUCAUAUUGCCCAAGUAGACAUAGCUACAUUUUAGAGACUGUCAUAUUGUGAAGGUCAUCCCCACAAUCUCCAAGUGUACAGAGACUGUCCUAUGGGAAGAGGCUUUCACAUACUCUCCAGUUAUAUAUAUAUAUAGGUACCUACUGCAGACCAUCCUAUGAUAAGAGACAUCUCCACAUUCUCCGACUGGACUUUACUUACCAGAGACAGUGAGAAACCUCUCGACAUUCUUCAACUAGACCUUACUUGAGACAAUCCUAUGGUAAGAGACAUCCCCACAUUUUCCAAUUAGAGAUCGCUACAUACCAAAGACCAUCCUAUGGUGAUAUACAGCCCAACAUUCUCCAACAAGCUACAUAACACGGACUAUUCUUUGGUCAGAGACAUCAUCACAUUCUAGAACUAGGAAUAACUAUGUAAUAGAGACUGUCUCAUGGUAAGACACAUCCCAUCAUUCUCCAGUUGUCCAUUGCUACUUACUAGAGACUGUCCCAUUGUGAGAGGCAUUCCCACAUUACCCACCUAGAUAUACCGUAGCUACAUACUAGAGGCCAUCUGUUGGUGAGAGACAUUCUCCAUCUAGACAUAUCUACAUACAAGAGACCGUCCCAUGGUGAGAGACACCCCCAGAUUCUCAAUCUAGACAUUCCCAUGGUGAUAGACUAUUCCAACAUUCUCCAACUAGACAUAGCCAUGUUCCAGAGACUGUCCUAUGGUGUGAGACAUCCCUACAUUCUCCAACUAGACAUCUUUACAUCCUAGAGACCAUCCCAUGGGGAGAGACAUCCUCACAUUCUCCAAACAGCCAUAGUUUUAUGCCAGAGACCAUAUUCAAUGUUUACCCAGAAGACCUUGACCUUCACAUUGCCUAAAGAUAGCUAUAUGUUGGGGCCUUUGCCUCCUAUGGUGAGGGUCAUUUCCAUCCUCUCCUGACAAAUAGCUUCAGAUGACCUCAGGUGUCACAUAUAAGACUUUGGAAGAUGUCUCACAGAGACUGCUGCUGAUGAACUUGUUUUUUCAUAUAGGGACUGAUCAUGUCCUGUACUGGGAGACCUCUUCAUGUACCAAGAUGGGGCCUUGUCAUAGAAAAGCAUACCUAUGUGGUGGAUCUAAGGUGACUCCUUCCUCGGAUAUUAUAAUCAAGGGUAUUCUUACAGUAAGUGAACUCUUACCUUUGAACACACAGCUGGUCAUAGGGUGACCAAGAAGACACCUUCCUUCUCUUCAGAUGUUAUUAUAAAGUGUGAUCCUACAAUCGGAGGACUCUCAUAGCUCUUGAUAUAGGGUAACUGUGAAGACCAGAAGACAUCUUCCCUUCUGUCUCCAUACUAUAAAGUGUAUUCUUACAAUUGGAGAUUUUUUUUAACCCCUGAAUACACAGCUGGUCAUAGGGUGACCCUAAAGACCAGGAAACGCCUCUACUAUAAAUUGUAUUCCUACAAUCUGAGGACUCCUUCCACCCGUGGCCACACAGCUGGUCAUAGGGUGACCAUAAAGACCAGGAGACACCUUCCCCAAAGUCUGAGUAUUGUUAUAAAGUGUAUUUUUACAAUUUAAACCCCCUGAACACAGAGCUGGACAUGGGGUGACCGUGAAGACCAGGAGACACCUUCCUCUUGUCUGGAUGUUAUAAAUUGUAUUCCUACAGUUGGAGAAGUCUUUCCACCCAUGGCCGGUGGACAUGGGGUGAACGCGAAGACCCGAAAACACCUUCCCCCAUCUGGAUAGUAUUUUUUCAGUUGGAGGACUCUUUCCACCCCUGAACACACAGGUGGACAUGGGGUGACUGUGAAGACCAGGAGACACCUUCUCCUUGUCUGGAUAUUAUUAUAACGUGUAUUCUUACAAUUGGAAAAUUCUUUUGAUCCCAGAGCAUAGAAAUUGAUAUAGGGUGACCAUAAAGACCAGGAGGCACUUUGCCCUUUGUCUGGAUUUUAUAAAGUUUAUUCUUUCAGUUGGAGGACUCUUUCUACCCCUGGAGAUAGGGUGACCAUGAAGAUGAGAAGACACCUUCCUCCUGUCUGGAUAGUAUUAUAAAGGUGUAUUCUUUCAGAACUUUGACCUCACAGCAGGACAUCGGGUGACCAUGAAGACCAGAAGACACCUAACUCUUAUCUGGAUAUUUUUAUAAAGUGUAUUCUUUCAGUUUGAGGACUCUUUUCAGCCCUGAACACACAGUCGGACCAGGAGACACCUUCCUACUCUCUGGAUAUUAUAAAUUGCAUGCCUUCAGUUGGAGGACUCUUUCUACUCCCUGGACUUAGGGUGACCAUGAAGAUGAGAAGACACCUUCCUCAUGUCUGGAUAGUAUUAUAAAGGGAGUUUUUUCAACCAGAGAACUUUCUCCACCUCUGACUACAUAGCAGGACCAGAAGAUCCCUAACUCUUAUCUGGAUAUUAUUAUAAAGUGUAUUCUUUCAGUUGAAGGACUCUUUAGACCCCUGAACACACAGCCAGACCAGGAGACACCUUCCUACUCUCUGGAUACUAUAUAUAUUGAAUUCCUUCAGUUGGAGGACUUUUUUUAACCUUGAACACACAGCCGGACCAGGAGACACCUUCCUACUCUCUGGAUACUAUAUAUAUUGAAUUCCUUCAGUUGGAGGACUUUUUCGACCCCUGAACACCCAGCCGGUCCAGGAGACACCUUCCUACUCUCUGGAUAUUAUAAAUGGAAUGCCUUCAGUUGGAGGAAUUUUUUGACCCCCGAACACCCAGCCGGACCAGGAGACACUUUCCUACUCUCUGGAUUUUAUAAAUUGAAUGCCUUCAUUUGGAGGACUUUUUCAACCCCCUGAACACCCAGCCGGACCAGGAGACACCUUCCUACUCUCUGGAUUUUAUAAAUUGAAUGCCUUCAGUUGGAGGACUUUUUCGACCCCUGAACACCCAGCCGGACCAGGAGACACCUUCCUACUCUCUGGAUUUUAUAAAUUGAAUGCCUUCAGUUGGAGGACUUUUUCGACCACUAAAUACACAGCUGGACCAGGAGACACCUUCCUACUCUCUGGAUUUUAUAAAUUGAAUGCCUUCAGUUGGAGGACUUUUUCGACCACUAAAUACACAGCUGGGCCAGGAGACACCUUCCUACUCUCUGGAUACUAUAUAUAUUGAAUUCCUUCAGUUGGAGGACUUUUUUGAACCUUGAACACACAGCCGGACCAGGAGACACCUUCCUACUCUCUGGAUUUUAUAUAUUGAAUUCCUUCAGUUGAAGGACUUUUUCGACCCCUGAACACCCAGCCGGAUUAGGAGACACUUUCCUACUCUCUGGAUAUUAUAAAUGGAAUGCCUUCAGUUGGAGGACUCUUUGUACUCUAUGGACUUAGGGUGAUCAUGAAGAUAUCAAGACCCCUUCCUCCUGUGCGGAUAUUAUUAUAAAGUGUCUUCUUGCUGGAAGUUUUGUGGAGCUGCCCUCCUGUAAGACGGAUAGAGGGUGGGCUCCAUUAUUUAGGUCAGGACACCCUUCUGGUAUUGUAUCUGAUGGAAGAUGGUGUGUGUAGAUAUCAGGUGGAAGUAUCUGUGGUGGAGAAGGACACGUUACACCUUACAAUCACUCGGAGGAGGCAGCAGAAACUUGAAUGACAAAUUCUCUUAAUCUCCAGGAAACGGAUCGCCGUCUGUCAUUGUGUGAAGUUGCUGAGCUGCUGGCCGGCCGGAGACUUCCUGGUCCUCCUUCGUUUUUCUACAGGUUAUAAAGCGAGGAAUUGUCCUUUAUAUGUGUGUGUGUGUGUGUUGAGCCCCGCUCAUUGAUUGGAUGCUCGGUGACUAAGGCUUUUCAGGAAUUAGUCCCCUCGUGUGACAAGUUUGUUAAGUUAAGAAGCCGGCUGGUGGCCAGCAGCAACGGGAACGAUCUUCUCCGUUAAAGAAAAGUUAAUCGUGAUGUCACUGGAUGGAAUGUACUCGUGAAUGAAGAGGCAUGAGAAAUAUUUGUGUGUGCGGAAGAAUAGACAAGAUCGCGGCAUUCCUGAUGACCUCCUCACGGCUUAGUCUCAACUUGCAGCUUGCUAAUACCAGCAAACAGACUGCAUAGCCUUUUGGGAACGAGCCACCUGCCAGAAGUGUCCCCCGCACGAUACGACCCCCGGUAUGGACUACUUCACAAUGAAACUCCAUAGAUUCUGCAAUGUCACAGCUAGGACAUGAAUAUCUUUACAGGUGGGGAAAGAACUGCUGACAUAUCUCAAAUACUGUUGCAUGUGGAGCAGCUGCUGCUCGGACGUUGCUCGAUAAGCCUGCACUUGUCUGGAAAUCCUUUCUGCACGGAGGACGGGCCUAUCCCUGCGGAGACCCAUGGCGUUCCUGAGUGGCCCCCGGCUCCUGGACUGGGCCAGCUCCCCCCCCCACCUCCAGUUCAAUAAGUUUGUGCUGACAGGGUACCGUCCUGUGGCCAACGGAGGAGAAUGUAUGAGGAGCUUGUUCUACCUGCACAAUGAGCUGGGCAACAUCUACACACAUGGUAUCCCUCUGCUCGGUUUCUUCUUCCUCCUCCCUCUUCAGAUUCCUUGGCGUCAGUUGGCGGUACCAUGGCUCGGUCUGGUCCAUUAUCUGGCCUGCGUCAGCCCCCAGUUGGGCAGCGUUCUCUACCACCUCUUCAUGAACCACCAUGGUGGGGCAUCCGUCUACCGCAAGCUGCUCACCCUGGACAUGUGCGGGAUUUGCCUCGUUAACACGUUAGGUGCUCUCCCCAUCAUCUAUUGUACCCUGCUGUGCUACCCUUCCUCGCGGAGCUUGUGCCUCUUGGUGUACUCCGCCUUGUCAAGUUACGUCAUCUUCUGCGCCGUCACCGCGCAGAGCAACGUGAGGCGAUUCUGUUCGUUCACCUGGCAGGCCGCCUUCCGUUUCUUCUUCUUCUACCUGCGCUGGGCCGGACUGGGCUCUGGCCAUCCAUCCUCUCUACGCUGCUACCUCCUGAUGGAUAGCUUUGCCCUGCUCGGAGGGAUCAUCAAUAUCUCCCGCCUCCCCGAGCGCUUGCGCCCCGGAAAGUUUGACUACUGGUGCAACAGCCACCAGAUCAUGCACGUCCUGGUGGUAAUCAGCAUCUUAUACUUGCACUGGGGAGUAACCUCUGACCUCACGUGGAUAAGCAGCUAUUCCUGUUCUCCGGAGUGAAGCCGGCAACAAAAUAAAACUCUAGGCAUAGGUAGCUUAGAACCGGCAUCAGCCGCGGACACGCGACAGGGAGUAGAGGACGAUAUAAGUAGCUGCACACGUAACCAGCAAAAAAAACUACUGAAGUAGAACUGGCGUUGCAAAACUUGACACAGUGGCACUCCGACUUCUGUGGAUAAGAGGGGGGAGGGGUAAUUUAAUACUAAGAAUGUCUACUUCAAAUUUGUGUCUUUAUUACGGUCACAAAUGUGGGUGAAUGUAGUUUUCACAUAUCAGUAUUAGCCAGAGAUGAGCCUUUGCACAGACACAACUGUGAUCUAUUGAAUGACCUCCCUACUCCAGCCCGUGUCAUGGAGACCUGUGGGGUCAAUAGAAUGACCUCUCUCAUUCCAGCCUCCUGUUGGGGGGGGAACCUGUGGUGUUUUUGAAUCGUGAUUAACGAAAUUACCUCUCCAUUCUGGCCCCAGCUUAGGGAGACCUAUGGACUUUCGAAAUUGUGAUCAAAAGAAUGACUUCUCCACUCCGGCCCCAGGUUAGGGAGACCUAUGGCCUUUCAAAAUUGUGAUCAAUAAAAUGACUUUUCCACUCCAGUCUUCGGUAAAGGAGACCUAUGGCCUUUCAAAAUUGUGAUCAAUAGACUGAUUUCUCCACUCCGGCCCCAGGUUAGGGAGACCUAUGGGCUUUCCAAAUUGUGAUCAAUGGAAUGACUUCUCCGCUAUGGCCCCAGGUUAGAGAGACCUAUGGGCUUUCCAAAUUUUGACUAAUGGAAUGACUUCUCCGCUAUGGCCCCAGGUUAGAGAGACCUAUGGGCUUUCCAAAUUUUGACCAAUGGAAUGACUUCUCCACUCUGGCCCCAGCUCAGGGAGACACAUGGCCUUUCCAAAUUGUGAUCAAUAGACUGAUUUCUCCACUCCAGCCCCCAGUAAAGGAGACCUAUGGGCUUUUAAAAUUGUGAUCAAUAGAAUGACUUCUCCACUCCGGCCCCCAGGUUGGGGAGACCUAUGGCCUUUCAAAAUUGUGACCAAUGGAAUGACUUCUCCGCUCUGGCUCCAGGUUAGGGAGACCUAUGGCCUUUCCAAAUUGUGAUCAACGAAAUGACCUCUCCUCACUAGUCCGAUGUAUGGGAGACCAAUGGGAUUUAUAUAUUGAGAGCAACAGACCGACCUCUCCAGCCCCAUGUUAGGGAGACCAAUGGAAUUUAUUUAUUGUGAGCAAUGGCAUGACCUCUCCCCACCAGUCCCAUGUUAGGGAGACCAAUGGGAUUUAUUUAUUGUGAGCAAUGGCAUGACCUCUUCUCACUGGCCCCCGUUAGGAAGACCUACAAAUUGUGAUCAAUGGAACGAUCACUCCGCUCUGGGAUAGGGAGACAUAUUUGGUAUCUGAAUGGAAAUCAUUAUGCUGACCGAGCCCUUUGGCCCCACUGGGGAGACUUGUGGGAUUUCUGAAUUGUGAACAAUAACUUCUCCACUCCCACCCAGGGUUAGGGAAACCUUCAAGAUUGAUAUAGUGUUAGCAGUGGAAUGACCUCUACACUGGCCACGGGUUAGGGAGACCUGCAGGAUUUCUGUAUUCUGAUCAAUGGAAUGACCUCUCUUCACCGACCCCAAUAGGGAGACUUGUGGGGUUUCUGAACUGUGAUCUACUGAACGACCUCUCCACUUCGGCCCCCAUGUGAGACUUGCAGGGUUUCCAAAUAUUUUCUAUAUUAACAUACAGCAGAUGGCCAGUUGGCUGUAACAUGGUGCAGAACUUAGCCAAAUGGCCGCAGAGCCCAGAAGACACAAUGACGUCUAUGUGUGGACGGACGGAUAUAUACGUCUUUUGUAUGGAGUCUUUAACGUUCAUGUACAGGUCAAUCUCCGGUGCGUCCCACCAUGGCGUUGUUUUCUGACCUUGUGUCGUUGGGUUGUGCUAAUUCCGUUACACUUUAGUCUUAUGAUGAUAUGCUCCAGCCGCAGGAUCCGCGCUCCUCACGUCCACCAAUGAUAAGGGGGUGUCAUGGCUGCUUUCUAAAGGGAAACUAAACUCUACCAUUAAAGUCCACCUUACAUAAAGGUCCAUAGAUGACCAGCCAAUCAGGAGAACAUCACAUUUUGUUUUUUGCCAACAUGGAGCAGUUGCUGCUAAAGUCUUAGUUGGGGUGCUGGGAUUUGCUCUACGCUGUGCCAGGCUGAGGUCUCCACUAACCCGUCUCAACCAUAAAAGCUCUUGCAAGCUCCUAGCCCUCUACCUUUUAGACAAUAGCCAUGGAGAAGGGUCAAGACAUGACGUUUUUGCCUCAUGGCAACUAGUCUUCUGGAACGAGGCUUUGGAUUCACUCUGCCGGGAUUCAGUAAUAAUGGUUGGCGACUCCUACCAAUAAGGGAGUGGAAUGCUGGAAUGGAGCCAAAAUAGCACCAGCUUCAGUGGGUAGCAUAGCCGGCUGGUGAGCAAACUCAUUCCAGGAGCUUGGACUCUAGACUCCUCCAUUGGACAUGUUGACAAUUUUUGGGGUGUAGAACAGACCGCUUUAAUCCCUCCAGCCUUUAUAGUUACACAUGGAAUGGCCAGUCAGUGCCGUGUAGACAGUAGCAGGUUUCCUGUCAGAAGGGCCCUUAAAUGAAGGCUAGGGGCAUCAUGGCUGCUUCCAAAAAGGUAAUAGUUCCAUUCAUCCCUCACACUGAGGGGCCAGUCGGUGCCAGGCAGAUGGUAGCAGGGUUUUAAGGGUGUCAUGGCUGCUUCCAUAGUUCCUAUCAGCCUUCACUCGGACGGGCCAGUCAGUGCCGGGUAGAUGGUAGCAGGGUGUCAUGGCCACUUCCAUAGUUCCCUUCAGCCUUUACUCAGAGGGGCCAGUCAGUGCCGGAUAGGUGGUAGCAGGGUGUCAUGGCCGCUUCCAUAGUUCCCUUCAGCCUUUACUCAGAGGGGCCAGUCAGUGCCGGAUAGGUGGUAGCAGGGUGUCAUGGCCGCUUCCAUAGUUCCCUUCAGCCUUCACUCAGAGGGGCCAGUCAGUGCCAGGUAGGUGGUAGCAGGGUGUCAUGGCCGCUUCCAUAGUUCCCUUCAGCCUUCACUCAGGGGGCCAGUCAGUGCCGGGUAGAUGGUAGCAGGGUGUCAUGGCCGCUUCCAUAGUUCCCUUCAGCCUUCACUCAGAGGGGCCAGUCAGUGCCGGGUAGAUGGUAGCAGGGUGUCAUGGCCGCUUCCAUAGUUCCCUUCAGCCUUCACUUAGAGGGGCCAGUCAGUGCCGGGUAGGUGGUAGCCUGUUUCCUUGGCUAUUCACGUUGAGGAAAGGGCAGUAAAUGAAGGCUGGGAAAGACAUGUUCAUCAUUAUGCUGCUAAACCUGAUUCGGCCUUUUGCUCCAGAUCUUAAAAUUCGGACAUUGAAAUUUGGAAAAGGCAAAUACAUUUUUACAAGCUGCCCUCAGAGGCCGAACAUCAGCUAUUGUCUCUACCCACAGACACAACCCUGCUCUGUACUACACACCUAUCCACGUCAGAACCACACGGGGGAGGUGGGUUAAAUCUGGGAACCUCCCUCACACCUUCUGUUGUUGGUGGAGUCGCCUUACACCCCAUGCUGCAGCCUCUUCUCUAGAAUAAAAAAAAGAGACUUUUUCUGGGAGCGGAGGGUGGCUGGAGCAUAUCCUGCAGGGCUUUGCACAAGGCCAGUAUUACUGAUGCAAUAAUAAAAAUUAUUUUAUGACA